rfam:Loxodonta africana unplaced genomic scaffold scaffold_16, whole genome shotgun sequence.
GCAUUGGUGGUUCAGUGGUAGAAUUCUUGCCUCCCAUGUGAGAGACCUGGGUUGGAUUCCCAGCCAAUGUA